AAGCUGAGUGAGGUAAUACCUUUUAUUGGACCGACUUCUGGUGGUGAGAGUCAGCCCAGAACAGCAGUUACCUCACAAAACUGACAAUUGAUCUCAUGAGAUGUGUCUCAGCUUUAAUUGCGGAGUUCCUACCUGAGAUUGCCAGCACCUAGCCUGAAAUCUCACCAGAACAACAAUUUUCACAAGAUUUUGGUCAUAUUUGAAAUAGAAGAAGGAAAGAAAAGAAGGAAAUUGAACCAACACCAAGAACAAAACCAUAGAGGUGUGUGUGGAUCUGGGAAACAGAAUCUUAAAAUUGAAGGGGUUUGGAUGUGAGCUUCCAGUUGUGACUCAUCAAUAAUUUCUUCCAAUCUCUGUACUUUUGUGUCUGAUGUGAGAGCGGAGAGCAAAGAAAGGUGACUGGAAAGGGCGGCUAGCCGUGGAGUGGAAGAAGCUACCUGACUUCACUCGGCGUGACCUUGCUCACCAAAGCAGUGCUGGACCUGAUUCGCUACAUAACUCAACAGAGUCACACUGCUGCAAAACUGGAGUAACACCGUGGGGAAUCAACACAGUCCCACUGUCUAUGGAACUGGGAUACUGGAGACUGAGAUACUGACUUCAAGGAGAGCAGGUCUGGGCCCUGAAUGUCUGUUUAUUCUUAGCCAAGUGGAGGAUUGGCAUUUUCAAACAUUUUUUUUCAGUCCUAAUCAUCAAAAACAAUUGUCAGUAAGGUAAUGCAUCUACGUACUUCCUGGCUCACCUACUUAUGCUACAUUUUCU
rnacentral:lncRNA from 1 species